rnacentral:rRNA from 1 species
GGGGAAUUGUUCGCAAUGGGCGCAAGCCUGACGACGCAACGCCGCGUGGAGGAUGAAGAAUUUCGGUUCGUAAACUCCUGUCGAGCGGGACGAAAGAUGCGCGGGUUAAUACCCCGCGCAAGUGACGGUACCGCUAAAGGAAGCCCCGGCUAACUCCGUGCCAGCAGCCGCGGUAAUACGGGGGGGGCAAGCGUUGUUCGGAAUUACUGGGCGUAAAGGGCUCGUAGGCGGCCAACUAAGUCGGACGUGAAAUCCCCAGGCUCAACCUGGGAACUGCGUCCGAUACUGGAUGGCUUGAAUCCGGGAGAGGGAUGCAGAAUUCCAGGUGUAGCGGUGAAAUGCGUAGAUAUCUGGAGGAAUACCGGUGGCGAAGGCGGCAUCCUGGACCGGCAUUGACGCUGAUGAGCGAAAGCCAGGGGAGCAAA